rnacentral:misc_RNA from 1 species
AUUGACUUGAUUUCUAGCCAAGGUUAGAUCAAUCUUUCAAAUACUCUCUACAUUUACAUAUUGUCUUUACAAACUAGUGUAGUGCCUAGCUUUAAGUCCAUCAAGAAAAAACGACAGAACAUAUAUCCUUUAUGGGCACAAGCAGUGAUACUCGUCCCUUCAUAUUUCGAAGAGGGACAUACUCUUCCUUUUUCCCAUUUUGUGCACCAUUCAACUUGAGCAACAGUUGCACCAAUGACACUGUAAAUGUAACCUUGGCUGUAGAAUCUUUAUUUUUAUCUGUAUAUUUUACAUGCCUAAUUGCCUACUGCAUCACUCUUUAAGAAAAGGAUACUUGAAUCACAUCUGAAGAGUAAUAUUCACUUAAUAUUUUGCCUAAUAUAGAACCCAGCAGGCAGACAUCUUCCUGAACAUUCAGUUGGUCCUUUUACCCAGAAUGAAUAAAAGAAAAAAAAGAAAAAGAUUAACUCAAUUGAACCUUGCUUAUAUGUUAUUUUUAAUAUAAU